GUCUUUUUGAUUAAUAAUUUAAAGUCUAAUCUGCCCACUGAUAAUAUAUUAAAGGGCUGCAGUAUUUUGACUGUACAAAGGUAGCAUAAUCAAUAGUCUCUUAAUUGGUGACUAGUAUGAAGGAUUUAAUGAGAUAUAUACUGUCUCUUUUUAAUUUAUAAAAUUUAAUUUUUUAGUUAAAAAGCUAAAAUGUAUUUAAAAGACGAGAAGACCCUAUAGAGUUUAAUAUUUAAUUAAAUUAGAAUUAUUUAUAAAAUUUAAAGUUUUAAUUUAUAAUAAAUAUUUUGUUGGGGUGAUAAAAAAAUUAAAAGAACUUUUUUUAUAAAUUUACAUUAAUAAGUGAAUAAAUGAUCCGUAAUUUACGAUUAAAAGAAAAAAUUACCUUAGGGAUAACAGCGUAAUUUUUUUUUUUAGUUCAAAUAAGAAAAAAAGUUUGCGACCUCGAUGUUGGAUUAAGAUAAAAUUUAAAUGCAAAAGUUUAAAAUUUUUGAUCUGUUCGAUCAUUAAAAUCUUACA
rnacentral:rRNA from 1 species